rnacentral:rRNA from 1 species
CAAUAGCGUAUAUUAAAGUUGUUGCAGUUAAAAAGCUCGUAGUUGGAUUUCUGGUUGAAGCGACCGGUCGGGCGUUGAUUCGUCUGCACUGGAGUCGGUUUUGGCCAUCCUCUAGGAAAGUGCGUCUGGUAUUAAGUUAUCGGGCGUAUGAUCCUGGUCUUUUACUGUGAAAAAAUUAGAGUGUUUAAAGCAGGCCUUCGCCUUGAAUACAUUAGCAUGGAAUAAUAAGAUAGGACUUUGGUCUAUUUUGUUGGUUUGCAGACCGAAGUAAUGAUUAAUAGGGAUAGUUGGGGGUAUUUAUAUUCCGAUGUCAGAGGUGAAAUUCUUAGAUUUUCGGAAGAUAAACUUAUGCGAAAGCAUUUACCAAGGAUGUCUUCAUUA